CUUCCUUCCGGCGACGGAGUGCCGCUUUCGAGCCGCGCAACGCGUAAUUAAUAUUUUGAAAAUUUGGCGCCGUUUGAAGAAAUUAAGAAGCUAACCUCUGUUGUCUUGUAUGGUCAUUCCCAUGGAAACCACUUGCGUAACUUCGUUCUGACGAUGAGACGCGCAAUUCUGCGUCUUCUGAUGGAAAAAGGGCAUAUACGUCAAAAUGCUGUUUUAGGAAGAUUGGUUUCAGUGUUUUUAAUGUUUCGUUACUUCGCGUGAGAAGUAGAGUAACUAAAUUCAAUUCUCUUUAAAGAUGUAGUAACAUAUUAUGUGUGUAGCACAUAC